CUUAAAUAACUUGGGUGUAAGAGCAGGUCUAUGUCCAAGUCAGCUGCAAAAUUUUUAAGUUUCCUGGUCAAAAGGGAGGGGUUCCAUAGCAUUCUAUGGUCUUUUUAUUUUUUAUUAACAACAUUCAACUUAACCAUUAAAGACUCACUGAACAUAUCCCACGAAACCUGAAGAUUGUCAAUUAAUAUUCACAAGUUUACAGGGCAUACAGAAGUUUGCUGAAGACCAAAGAAUGUCCACUUUUUAGCGUAACUCAUUUCACCAAUUCCAGAAUGGAGCGCACUUAGAGUCCAAAACUGGGACAUGAUGCUAACAUGGGAAAAAAGCUCAUGGAAGAUCUUUGCAUCGACCUUCGCAGGAAGUGAUGUCUUUGGCUCCUUUAUGAAACAUAUAGGCCAUAUGCUUGGAAGUGCGUGUUAGGGUGGGGCUAGGAAGUGGAGAAGGCAGAGAAAGAGGGUCUCCACAACUUUCCAAAGUUCUAGAACUCUAAAACUUGGUGAUGCUGACUAAAAUAAAAGGGAUACAGAAGAACUGAUAACCUUACCAUGUAGACUUGAUCCCAUUCCAGAUGGGCAGUAGGAGGGAGGCAGAAUGCAAGAUGACGGUGUUUGGUGCCGUAGCAAUUUCACAGUAUCUGUCUAGCUUCAUACCAGAGUGGAUGUCAUGACCCUAAUGCAGGAAAUAAGUGGAAGGAACCAAGUAGCCAUAGUAACAGUGCAGCCAAGAGGAAACACUCUGGAACAGGAGACCAAUCUGGCAACGGGAUCCAAUUAAAAGUUGGUAAUUGAAUGGAACUGAAAACCAUGUAUCAGUUGAAGAGAUACAGUGAGUGGUGAGUCAGACCCCUCAGAAAGGAAGAGAAGCAGGCAGUCUGCUUGAAUGUGCUUUUGUGGACAAUGGAGGGGGACGGCCCACGACGUUUUAUGAUGCCUCAAGAAUUUGAGUCACUCUUAAAAGGACACACCAAGGACCAGAAAUUUUAAAACAACGGUAUUUCAUGUGAUAUAUGCUCCUAAAAACUGAUAAAUGAUGAUGCCCUGUGUUUAUAUGCUAUCUUUUCUUAAGGGCCACUUAGAUCCCUUUUUUUUUUUUUUCCAUUUUUCCCCCCUCUUUCUGAUUUUGUGAAGAAAGCUGUAUAAUGUUCCACAGCUGAAAAUACACAGAUACUAUUUUUCUCUACUUCUUUGAUGGGGCUAAGAUUUAUGAAUCGGUCCAAAGAACUUUGAGAAUUACUUAUGCUGUAAUUCAAAAACUCAAAAUUGUUAUUAUUCCCAAGCACCGCUUCAUUAAAGUCAACAACGGAAACAAAAAAAUUACUUAGCAGCACUUAGAGAACAUAAAAACAGAGGGAGGUUAUCUGUUCCACUGACAGUAGACUAAUAGCGGCACCUUUGAUGAUGUGUCAUACUGUAAUAAAACUACUCUUGGGCACAGGUAUCCCAGGAUAUAUUGGCUCUUAAAUCAGGAGCAUCUCUUAAGAGUGGGAUUUGGGGGUGACAAAAAAGAAUGGACAUUCUUUGUGGAAGGGGUAUCAUGAGCAAAUAUACAGAGGCAGGAAAACCAGUAUCACAAGCAUAUUAACAGGAAUACUGUUUGGUUUGAGAACAGAGUUCGCAGAGGGGACCUACAGAAGACUGGUCUGGGAUGGCAGAGUGGAACCAGGUUGUGGGCAGCCUUAAGAUGGGGGACUACUUUUAACGACAUGAGGAAUGAUUAAAAAGAGCUGACACUUAAUCAAAUCUUGUGCUUUCGUAAGAAGCUAAAUCUGGGGGUGCCUGGCUGGCUCAGUCAGUGGAGCACGUGACUCUUGAUCUCAGGGUUUAAGUUUGAACUCCACGUCGGAUGUAGAGAUUACUUAAAAAUAAAUUAAUAUAGGAUGCUAUAACUGUCCAAUGGUGAAGUAAUGAAAGCCUGAAUUAUGACAGUGGUAGUUAGGAUGGAAAGGAGAGACAGAUCUAGAAAAUGAUUAGAAAUUAGAAGAGAAUUAGAAAUGGGUACAAAGUGGUCAGAAACGCUCACCAACAGUAAACUCAAGAGGCAAAAUAACAGCAUCAGAAAAGCCUUAUUUCUGGGGAAGUCCUAUUAGCACCCACAGCACCAGGAUGCACUUAGGUCGCUGCAUCACCUGAGAUGCCUUGCUUUGGGCUCUCUCCUGUCCGGGCUUUUCUGGCUCAGGUUACGCCAAACUAGUCUAUGAAUUCUUCCUCAAAUCGGUCACCCACCUGCAUCUGUACCCACACCGUGCCUUGUGUCCUAUUGCCUUGGAUGAACUAUCUGUGCAUCAAAGUGACCCCUUCCACCUGUGCCACACCCCUCCCCCACUCAGGGAACUCAUCCAGUCUCGUGACUUCAGAGAACAUCUCUAGUGACUUCUGCAGAUUCAGGUUUACAACCCAGGCCUCUUUUCCCAAGUCCACACUCCACACCUGCAUAAGCAACUUAGCAUGUAUUUCCCCUCUCAGUAAACUGCAAUUUCUUCCAGGUGCUCGGGCCAAAAGCCUGAGAGUCAUCCUCGACUUGCUUCCUUCUCUCACAUCCUAUACUUAAACGGUCAGUAAAACCCACCAAUUCUACUUUUAGAGCCUAUCAGGAAUUGAACUUCUUACUCCUUCUCACUCGCAGCACUAUGGCAACCUUCCAACUCCUCUGCCUACCUCCACCUUGCUGGUCUCAGCAUGGCCCGGGCACUUUUAAAACAAGUCAAUCAGAUCCACCUCUACCUAGAACUCCUCAGUGGUUUCCUACCUCACUCAGAGUAAAAACAAAAGGUCUAGGAGGCCCUAUGUGACAUGUACCCCAGCCACCCCCUGAUCUCAUCUAUUUCUUCCAGCCACGCUGGCCUCCCUGGUGCUCCUAGAUGAAGCCAAACAGGCUCCUACUCCCGGGGAAAAUACCGCUGCCUUGGUCUACAAAGUUCUCCCGAGAGACACCUAGCAGGCUCUGUCCUCAUCUUUCUCAAUUCUCUGUUCGAAUGACACCUCAAAAGUGACCCGUCCUUGUUUUCUACAUAAAGUCCCAAGCCCAUCUCACCGCAGCACUCACUAUCCCACGAUUCCAUUUUGAUUUUUUUCUAUAGUGCUGUCAUGAGUUGAAUACCAUUCUCUGAAAAUCCAUGUCCUUUCUGAAAGCUCAGAAUAUGACCUUAUUUGGAAACAGGGUCCUUGUAGAUGUAAUCAAAUUAGGAUGAGGUCAUAAGGAUGGGCCCUAAUCCAGUAUGACUGAUGCCCUUGUAAGAAGAGGGAAAUGUGGACACACAUAGUGAGAGAGCUCCCUGUGAAGAGGAGGAGGCAGAGACCGGAGUGGCCCAUCUACAAGCCCAGGACCAUGAAGGACUGCCAGCUGUCCCCAUGAGCUGGGUUUAGGAAGCAAUCUUGAGGACGGCCCAAUUCAAGGAGAAGCAAGUGCAAUGCCCCGCGUGACGAUCAUCCACCAUGCAAGCGAGAAGCACAGGAUUUAUAGGAGGUUGAGAGAAAGAACCGAGGUGCCUUGAGUAAGUACUUCAACUGCUCUCUGCCUCACAAAUCAUUCCCAUUAGCAUUCACUGCAAGGGUGGACUCCGACGGCAAGCUUUCUCCGAAGCACCCGUCACUAAUUCCUCACUAAUUCUGUGUGCUUCCAGCAGAGCCUGGCUACCGUGAGGACAGCCCCCGGGGUCAAAUGCAGCAGCUUCCUGCGUUAAAUGCAGGCCUCAGACCAGACUGUGCUCGUCUGCUUGUUCUGACGAGGGCAAAGCAUCUAUUUGGGUUCCACAUUUCCAGCCAGAGGGAAAAAUACCCUUUCCUUGUUUGACAUAAAAAGGAGAAAAAACGCUCAGCAGGCUUAAGGCAUGCACCUUCUAACUCACAGGACAGAACAAAAUGCUGAGUAGGGACACUGUCGUAUAGCACACGCAGACCCCCUUUAACGCCCUCAGGAAGAAGUCCCAGUGCUCACCGAGAACACACCCUCAGCAAACAGCCUGUUCUUUUUAUGCUACCCACUGGCUCUCUUUCUUAAUGGAGAGCCAGGCUACAUUUUACAAGAACCAUACCCUGUCAUUAGACAUCUUCUGAUCCACAGAUGGACAAGAACUUGGAAGAAUUUAGAAAGCUGAGGAAGAAUGGCUAGAAGCCUUUUAGGGAGAGUUCAUGAAAAGCCAAAACACUUUCCAAGUGGUUAUGUGUCCACAACGGUCUUUGCUUUGUGUGCCAUGUAUUUUUUUCUUUUAGUCUUCAAGAUUUUGGUUUUAAUUAUUUCGCUGAUGAAUUUUAUAUUAAAUGUAAACUCCGGGGCAGAGCUUUGCUGUCUAAUGAAAUGUAUGCAGCCAAUGAAGAAGUUUAAGCUGCAAGAUCCAGUGUGUUCCACACAUUUGCAAUCAUCUGUGGAAAGUCAACUACUCUGGGCCUCAGUUGGCCCACAGGAAGAUACAGGAGACACUCCCAGGUCACUGAUAUUAUAUAAUUACCGUGUCAAAUACCAACAUACCCUUAUGGCGAAUCCCCUUUCCACUUCCAAAUAAAUGGAUAUUUGUUUUCAA